UCUCACAAGCAACAGUGCUGAAGACAAGACUUGGGGUAGUAUAGGAGCAGGAUGGGCACUGAGCAGGUUUCUAUGAUCCAGCAGACGGGUAAAGGAGAGGAGGAAAGGAGCUCAGGGAUAAGAGCCCAGCACUUGACAGGCAACGAACAAGCUGCCCCCUUGUGACCUACACAAUGGCCUGUGUGACUGACUAGAGAAACUGCUCUGUAUCAGGAGACAGAUCAGCAUAAGACCUAGAACACUCAGCAAGUACAUGCAGGCUGAUAAAAGAUGAUGAAAUACAAGAUUUGCUUUACUAUCUAGACACUUUAAGAUGCAAAGAAAACUGAGCCCAAAGGUUAGUUCAUCUUCUGUGCCUGCAAUAAUAUUCACCAGCUCAUUUGGUAAUUAGGGCAAGUUGCUCUGUGAAACAAAUUCACAAAAGAGCAUGGAUAUCAUUAAACACUAGAUGGCGAUAUAAAACAGGAGUAGCUCUUCUUA